rnacentral:rRNA from 1 species
AAUCUUUCAACAACGGAUCUCUUGGUUCUGGCAUCC